AUUUAUGUAGUUUAUAAAAACAUUACAUUUUCACUGUAAAAAUAAAAAUUUAUUUUUCAUAAAUA
rnacentral:tRNA from 1 species